CUCGGGGGCGGGACGAAGCCUAGGUGGGCGGGGCCUGCGGGGGCGCUGUGGCGGUACAAGAACCCAGUGAGGGAGGAUCCAUGGGCGCUGAGGUGGGAAUCUAGGGAGGCUGAGGGAGGAUCUGUGGGGAUGACGGAAGUUCAAGGGGGGCUGAAGAGGCACGCAGCGGGCUGAGGAGGACCUGAGAGGCUGAAGGAGGAUCCGAAAGGCUGAUACAGCGGGGCUGAGGGGGGAUCCGCGGGGUUGGCGGGGGCUGAGAAAUGACCCUGUAGUUCACAGCAAAAUGGAGUAAUUUAUGUCACAACGUAACCAAAAUGGAGUGGGGAGGGCCCUAAGGAAGCAGCUGUCACGCAUUUCUGAAAUGCCAGAGAGGCUCGCUAUUACCUUGUAAACAGAGCUUAUUCCGGGCAUUUCCACUGGCCUGCAGUAUUCCAGAUGAGAUGUUUGGACCAGGGCAGGCAGAUAGCAUCGCCUAUCUGCCUCAGCGAACCAGGGUCACUUUGUGCAAUGAGUUCAUGAGACCAGGGCCUUUGUUUUGUGAAAGUUACAAAUAAGGAGUGAAAUCACUUUGUCAGGCCCAGACAAACAGGGCUGGGAAGAACAGGAGGCUCAGGCUUAGUGUCUGAGAUAAGAAUUAUUCGCAAGGACUUUCUAAAAACCCCACAAGAAACCCUUUUGUGUCAUUCACGGGUCUCCUACUUUGACAAAAUUUAGACCAUCUUUAGGACUGCAGUAAUUCAGUUAAGAUGCUCGGAAUAAACACUUGCCCAGUAAUGGCAGCGCCACCAAUGAACUGAGGACAACUUUGAGCUUUGGCGUUGGGCCCCUGGAACCAAUGAACUCUUUCUAAGCAGCUUCUGUGAACCGCUCCCUUUUCGCUGAUAAAAGUUCCCUUUUCACUGAUAAAAAGUUCCCUUUACCCUUCCCUCACUGGGAAUGCUGGUGGCUUGCUGCUGUUGAUGAAAAGAGUCAAACUUUGUAAAAUAUUUUAAGAGAUAUAUUCUGAGCCAAAUAUGAGUAACCAUGGCCUGUGACACAGCCCUCAGGACAGAGGUCCUGAGAACAUGUUCCCAAGGUGGUUGGGGUGCAGCUUGGUUUUAUACAUUUUAGGGAGGCAUGAGACAUCAAUCAAAUACAUUUAAAACCUACAUUGGUUUGGUUCAGAAAGGCAGGACAACUCGAAGCAGGGGUCAAGGGUGCUGGCUUCCAGCUUAUAGGUAGAUUGAAAAAUUUUCUGUUUGACAAUUGGUUGAAUUUACCUGAAGACCUGGGAUUAACAGAAAGGAAUGUCUGGGUUAAGAUAAAAGAUUGUGGGUGGGGUGCAGUGGCUCACACCUGUAAUCCCAGCACUUUGGGAGGCUAAGGCAGGCGGAUCACGAGGUCAGGAGUUCGAGACCAGCCUGACCAACAUGGUGAAACCUCCUCUCUACUAAAAAUACAAAAAUUAGCUGGGCGUGGUGGUGUGUGCCUGUAAUCCCAGUUACUCAGGAGGCUGAGGCAGAAGAAUCACUUCAGCCCAGGAGGCGGAGGUUGAAGUGAGCCGAGAUUGCGCCACUGCACUCCAGCUUAGGCAAUAGAGUGAGACUCCAUCUAAAAAAAAAAAAAAAGGAAAGAAAAAAAAAUAUAUAUAUAUAUGAUUGUGGAGACCAAAGUUCUUAUUUGCAGAUGAAGCCUUCAGGUAUUAGGCUUCAGAGAGAAUAGGUUGUAAAAUGUUUAUCGGACUUAAAGUCUAUGUUGAUGUUAAUGCCAGAGAGGUAUAAUGAGGCAUGUCUGACCCCCACUUCUUAUGGCCUGAACCAGUCUUUGAGGUUAAAUUUUAAGAGUUCCAGGCCAGGCACAGUGGCUGACACCUGUAAUCCCAACACUUUGGGAGGCAGAGGUGGGCGAAUCACUUCAGGUCAGGAGUUCGAGACCAGCCUGGCCAACAUGGUGAAACCCGGUCUCCACUAAAAAAUAUACAAAAAUUAGCCAGGCAUGGUGGUGCGCACCUGUAAUCCCAGCUACUCAGGAGGCUGAGGCAGGAGAAUCACUUGAACCUGGGAGGCAGAGGUUGCAGUGAGCAGAGAUCGCACCACUGCACUCCAGCCUGGGUGACAGAGCAAGACUCCGUCAAAAAAAAAAAAUUUUUUUUAAGAGUUCCCUGGCCGAGGAGGAAGUCCAUUUAGAUGGCUGGGGAGCCUUAUAAAUUUAUUUUUUAUUUUUGGUUUACACUUGAUAAAAACUUCAGCCGAAUUAAAUUUAAAGUUUAAUUGAGCAAUGAAUGAUUCACGAAUCACGCAGCCCCCAGAAUCACAGCAGAUUCACAGAGACUCCAGCACAGCCACGUGGUGGAAGAUUCGUAGACAAAAAAAGGUAAAUGAUGUACAGAAAUUGAAAGUAAAGUACAAAACAGCUGGAUUGGUUUCAGGUUGGUGUUUGCCGUAUUUGAACACAGUUUGAACGCUCAGCAGUAUAUGAAUAGUUGAAGUGCAGCCUCUGGGAUUGGCCAAGACGCAGCUAUUGUUACAGUUGCAUACUCCUGUUAGGUUUUCAAUCUAUCUACCUAUUAAGCUAGGUUGCAGUUCAUCCACAAGGACUCAAAUAUAAAAAUAUGAAGUCCUUCUCAGGCCAUAUUUAGUUUGCUUCAGCAACUACCCUCUUUUGGUCAUUUUCUCAAUUUUGAGAGAUUGACCAAAACUUUAGUUGUUGUCACUAUCACCAUAGUAAAUGUACUUAUUUGCUCCUGAAAUCCAGUGGGAAACAGUAGAACAAUGAGUUUUCCAAAGGUAGGAACAAAGACUGAGUAGAGGGUACCUCUUUAUGCUGGAACAUCCUGUUUACAGGAGAAAAAACCUGGUCUGUUCUAGGAUUUAUAUGUAUCCUUAGUUUGAUUAUGUCACAUUUAGCAUGAGUGACUCCAUUUUAGUUUGGUUUGUCCUGUUGGGACCUAGUGCAUGAGCUUAGUCCAAAACAAUGGCCUCCCAUAAUUGUGUUUUUUAAAAAAUUCCCCCUUUUUGGUCAGGUUCUUACUUAGGUGAGAGUGUGACCAAAACUUGGGGCCUUAGCACCACUCUCUGUUACCAUCAUUUUGUGUUUCUGGUGUCAGCACAUCGUUCAUAGGUUAUGGUAUCCUCAUGGUCACAUAUUUCUUUCAGCUCUUUCAUUCCAGUUGAAGAGAGACCAUUUGACGUUCUAGAGAUAGCUGUGUGCAAUCAUUUAAAAUCUUUGAGAGAAUACAGUGCACCAGGGAGACUAUUAUUAUGCCUAUUGGGAGCAUAAUACCAAGAGUUUGGAGUAUGCUCCUUACCCAGGGUCCCCAUAAACCAAACCACCUAAAAUUAAAUAGAUUAAAGAAUGAGUGAGAUGAAGGGUCUACUUGCUUGACUAAGUGAUCUUUUCAUUAAUCUUCUACAACUGAAUUUUUAUAAUCUACAUUUAAUGUAUUCCUCCAUAGGCCACAGCUGCCAGCAGCUGCACAGGUACUUUUCUAUUUAACUAAUUCUAUUAUUUAGCAUAACUUUCACAAGAGAAUUUAAAGUCUGUUGUGUAACGAUAGUCUUUACAGUAGAAUCUGCUAGAAAGCCUAUUAUGAGGGAUAUAUUUCUAGUUAUUGCCUAUUUUAUUCUAAACGAUGGAAAAAGGACCUAACAAAUGAUGUCCUUUUAGAAAAGUGAAGGCCCCCUGACAAUGUUCUCUUUAACCCAUGAUGUGGGUUAAGAGGAGUUUUUACUGAUUAUGAGGAAAUAUAUGUACAAUUAAAGUUUUUCACCUACAUUGGGCCUUCGUCUUGUCUUUAUCAAAGUAUAAGUUUAUUCAUGUAUAAGGCUGGCUACAAAAUCCUUCACAAAUAAAAGUAUACCUUAUAACUGAACAUAAUAGAACCCCUUUUCAUUUCUAUUAUUCAUAGAGGCAUAAACAAGGAAAAAAAUAUUCAAAGAUAAGAGUCUCAUUAUAGAAGCCUUGAUCCAUGAUCAUGGGAAAAGCUGUUCACAUCAAGGAUGCCAUCUUCUUCUGGGAAGAAACUUUCUGGGUUAGUUUUACCUUAAGGAUUCCAAUGGGUGUACAGUUCCAAGAGUGUAGAGGGACCCCUUUCAGUUGUUUAUGAACCCAAGGUUCAAGGUUCCAAAGUUUUGUUGCAGUGUAGAAGGACAGUCUUUCUCUGAUGUUCUCAGAAGAGUCAGUCUUCAGGUUCUGGAUUGUGAAGGGGUUGAUUGUCCUCAGUGAACCAUAAAAAGUUUUCUUUAUCUGGUGAAAAUAUACUCUGGCAUAAUAAUUAGCUGUUAUAACAUAAAACAUGCAUUGAAAAUGACAGUGGAAUGAAAUUCAUUUAUACAUGUUUAAAUGACCCAUCAGGUAGCCAAAUGUACCUGAAGGUUUGAUUACCUUCCCAGGAAUAUGGAACCAACCAUUGGUUUUAUUUUAUUUUAUUUUAUUUUGAGAUGGAGUCUCACUCUAUUGCCCAGGCUGGAGUGCAGGGGCAUGAUCUUGGCUCACUGCAGCCUCCACCUCCCGGGUUCAAGCGAUUCUCCUGCCUCAGCCUCCUGCGUAGCUGGGACUGUAGGCACCCGCCACCACGCCCAGCUAAUUUUUACAUUUUUAGUAGAGACAGGGUUUCACCAUAUUGGCCAGGCUGGUCUUGAACUCCUGACUUUGUGAUCCACCCACCUCAGCCUCCCAAAGUGAUGGGAUUACAGGCAUGAGCCACCAUGCCCAGCUGUGUUUUUUUUUUACAAGAAUCAUCUGCUUAUUUAUUUUACAAAGUAAUUAUUUAAAUUGAGUACAUUUGGGCACAGUAGAUAUUGGACAUGAAAAGUAUUUGUAUCAGAAUGGGCAUCAGAAAAAUAGCAACUCAUCUUACACAUAAUAACUAGAAAAUAUUAUUCUGUCUGAUCAUUUAAGUGUUACAAAUCCUGAGAAUGUUAUACACUGAACAAAUUAGGUACUACCUUAAAAUUAAAUCUUGCUUGGAAAUAAUCCUUUAAAAAUGAUCUGAGGUACAAAUCAUCUAUGUAUUAAACGUGAGUCUUUGACAUUAUACAAAGAGUUUAAACAAAUAUAUAAAUUACAGGUCAGUGGCUCUUAAAAUAGCUACCAGUCAGGUUCAAGGACACACUGUUCCGCAAUUUCCCAUAAGCUGGGGUUUUCCAUUGCAG
rnacentral:lncRNA from 1 species